CCUACGGGGGACAGCAGUGAGGAAUAUUGGUCAAUGGACGAGAGCCUGAACCAGCCAAGUAGCGUGAAGGAUGACUGCCCUAUGGGUUGUAAACUUCUUUGAUAUGGGAAUAAAAUGUUACACGUGUGGGAUUUUGUAUGUACCAUAAGAACAAGGAUCGGCCAACCCCGUGCCAGCAGCCGCGGUAAUACGGAGGAUCCGAGCGUUAUCCGGAUUUAUUGGGUUUAAAGGGAGCGUAGGUGGAUUGUUAAGUCAGUUGUGAAAUUUUGCGGCUCAACCUUAAAAUUGCAGUUGAAACUGGCAGUCUUGAGUACAGUAGAGGUGGGCGGAAUUCGUGGUGUAGCGGUGAAAUGCUUAGAGAUCACGAAGAACUCCGAUUGCGAAGGCAGUUCACUGGACUGCAACUGACGCUGAGGCUCGAAAGUGUGGGGAUCAAACAGGAUUAGAUACCCUUGUAGUC
rnacentral:rRNA from 1 species